rnacentral:rRNA from 1 species
CAGAAACUCAAAGGAAUUGACGGGGACCCGCACAAGCGGUGGAGCAUGUGGUUUAAUUCGACGAUACGCGAAGAACCUUACCUGGCCUUGACAUACUAAAAAGCUUUAAGAGAUUAGAGUGUGCUAGCUUGCUAGAAUUUAGAUACAGGUGCUGCACGGCUGUCGUCAGCUCGUGUCGUGAGAUGUUGGGUUAAGUCCCGCAACGAGCGCAACCCUCGUGUUUAGUUGCUAACAGUUCGGCUGAGAACUCUAAACAGACUGCCUACGCAAGUAGGAGGAAGGUGAGGACGACGUCAAGUCAUCAUGGCCCUUACGGCCAGGGCUACACACGUGCUACAAUGGGGUAUACAAAGAGCAGCGAUACGGUGACGUGGAGCAAAUCUAGAAAAUGCCUCUCAGUUCGGAUUGUAGUCCGCAACUCGACUACAUGAAGUUGGAAUCGCUAGUAAUCGUGGAUCAGCCAAGCCGCGGUGAAUACGUUCCCGGGCCUU